GGGUUCGUAUUUCAUAAAAAAAAAAGGUUUAAGAUUGAUGGUUUAGGAUUUAGAGUUUAGUUUUAGAGUUUAAGAUUUUUAUUUAUUUAAAUAUUUAUUUAUUAUAUAUAUAAAAAACAAUGGCAUAAGAGUUUUUUGCCGCUUAAUGAAUAAGGUAUUUUUGAAAAUGUCUUUUUAGUGGUGGUAAAAAUGAAAAGUGAUAGUAUGAAAGUGGUUAACAUGUAAUUUCCCCUUAUAUCGUCUACAAAAUAAAUAUAUUCAUAUAUAACAUUUCAAAUUUCGAAAUAUUAUUAUUUUUGUAUAAUUGUACAAUUUGUGAAUUGUACUACUAAAGUUUUCAAAAAUUUCUACAAUUUUUUUUUUAAAAUUUAAAUAUCUAAUCGUAAGAUCAUUAGUUUCUUAUAUAUCUACAAAUUUUAUAAAUAUUUUUUAGGCUAAAUUUUUGAUAACUAUACAAUUUUAUAUCAUUUUAUUAGUUUUAUACAAAUUGGUUUAAUAUGUAUCAAAUCUAUAUUAAAUAUUAGUAAUAAAAUAGUAAAAUCUAUAAUAUUUAAUAAAAUUUAUUUUAAAUAUAAAUUAGAUUAAAAAUUUAUUAGUGCACAUAGUGCCGAAAAACACCUAGUCUAUCUAUCUAUAUUAUAAUGAAAGAGUUUUUACUCUCUCCUAAGCAUGGCCGCGCGUAAAAAUUUUAGGUCCCGCAUUUAAUAUUAUAAUAUCUUUUUGCCGUCUCCUUCCUCUCAACUUUCGACCUCCCCUAUGUCUUCAUCUCGGUCGCUUCCUUACCUUCUAUUUUACAAUCAGAGCAUUAGAUUUGUACGUAUCUAAUCAGAAAACACCUCAAAUACUAUAAUUCAGUCAGAGAGGGUUGAGAAUGGAAUCAAGCAAUCACCAACAAGCUUUCUCAAUUUAUUUUCUCUCAAAAACCUAAAAUCCUCUUCCUUUUCUUGGACUCGCGAAACAUCAAGCAAAAUGAGAAUUUAUGGAAUCACUCUCCUUAUCCUUGCUGAAAAGAAUUCGGUGAUCCACAGAUCCAUUCCUGCUAUUGAUGAAAUUUUGAACAAUGCUUAGGAAGUUUGACAUCUUCAAGCUCUUGCAAACACGAACUCAAACUGCCUGUUUUUUCAUUUACAUUUGCUAAUUUAUAUUUUAGUAAUUUAUAUAUGAUUUCGUUAUUAAUUGUGAAGCUCUUCAUCAAAUGGCAGAUCUUGGCCAAAUUCGUCAUGUGCAAGGUUCUGACCUUAAGAACGGUGAAGCAAUGACUAGACUUGUGGUCUAUUUCCUCACUAGGAGUUUUUCAUAAGAGGAGUAAUAUGUGGAAGAGAGUAGAGUGAAAGAGAGAUAAUUGUUUCCAAAUUUGAGGAAAUUCUAAGCUGCAAUCAGAGGAAAAGAUUAAGAGUUUAUAAAAGCUUGGUCUGGAAUUGAGGAGAGAUAUGGCGGGUACAGAUUUUUGAUCAACUUCUAAAGCAUCAGAUAUGGAUUAGAAAACAAAACCAAACAGAGAUGAUGCAAAGAGGAUCUGAAUCAGUGAUGAAGAUUCGUUUCUCAGAAUCAAAACGCCUCUACAGUUUUUUUUUUUAAUUUGUGAACUUCCACACUAUAAUUAUGCGACUGAUUUAUUUGUGUUGUUUCUUUCAAGCUGAAUAGAAGACAAAAAAGACGAGAGAGGAUUCAGUACAACAAAUGAUUGCAACUUCUGCCACAUGAUCAUGUAAACAUCAUGACAUUUUUCAUGUAUGGUAACUCAAUUCUUUAUAAUUUGUGGUUGUCUCUAAAUUUGGAUUAUAGUGUGUUUCUCGCGAUAAUGAAGCAUACCACAUAUCUGAAUUUAUUUCUACGGUAGCUUCAAAGAAAAAAGUAGUACUUGGGAGUCAUUCACCAGUAGUGUAAUCAAGCAACCAAUUUUGAAACUCUGACGUUAGGCAACCCAUAUGGCUUCGGCUUUGUUUUUGUCUUAUAGUCUGGUCUUCUCUACAGUUCUGCUCGAAUCAGCUCUGUCACAAACUAAAGUGUUCAAUCAAGACAUGUCAGUCUCUAAUUUAAACAUCUUCUGAUGUUUUUGGUAUUUCUUACUUAAGAAAAAUAUGUUUGAACACUUUCCCUUCCAAAAAGAUUGGAUGACUUUUUGAUUUCAGUUGUGCCGUAAGAUUUCAGUUUUGGCGUUUCUAAACUUGGUUGGAUCUCCUAAGAAGAAGCUGUUUAGAAUUGAUUACGAGAUAUAAACCCUGCAAACAAAAAAGAGUGAAGACAAUGGGCAGAAGAAGAAGAACAAAGAUAUGAAGAAGAGAAUCAAAGUCUUAAGUGAAAGAGAAAGAAGAAGAAAAAGUUAACUUAGAGUCAAAGAAGGAGGUAACCUUGCAUUACAUCUCUAAAGAGUCGUUACUCAUCUUAAGAGUUUAGUUAAUAAUUAAACUGAGUAAGUCAAACUAGAAGAUGAUCAGAGAGCGGUCUAAGAAGAGUUGUUAGAACAGUGUUUUAAUUGCUUGCAAGAUUUGUCUAAAGACUAGAAGUAUGGAUUAGGUGUAAGUAAGCAUGAUUAAAGUCAGUUAGUUGAUCUGCUAUGAAGAGCAAGUAUGAUCUAUUAUAAGAUUGGCCCUGUUCUUUAAGGUGUCGCUGCGUCAGCGGCGAGCGACUGAAAUUGAACGUUAAUGACGGCAAAUAAUAGAAUGGAAAACUGAAAAGGUGUCGCUGCGGUUAAUUUAUUAGUAGUUUCCGGUGUUGAUUGUAUCGCUGAAAAAACCAGCGAUCAUCGGAAUAGUGUUGUAAUCAAACGCAGGUGUCGCUGCGACAUAUCCACCACAAACUUAAGCUUCAAGAAGCGUAAAAUUAGGGCGUAUUUUAAAAGCUGGUCGCUGACGCAGCGUUCCGUUGCCGAACAGGGCCAUUGUAUGCAAGUCUGCAGUUUUUUCCAUUGUUGUUGUUGUUGUAGAAUGUGAGACAAGCAAGUGGAUCAUUGCAGCCCGUGUUCGAAAACGCGCCCGAGUUGCCGAGAUCUCGGCCGGGUAAGCGUUGGGCGUGUUGUCACCGUGGCGUGGAGGAGCUGAUCGGAGUAGCUAGGCGGUGAGUCGAUUUUGUCUUGAGUUGACUGCGAAAAUGAUGCAAUCGGUGCUUCGUAUUACAAACACGUGUUGCUUCAGUUUGAUAAUCUACAUAAUUUUGACCUCAAUCGAUAUUAUUUUGAGACUUUGUGCUGUAAACCGCAAGAAAAUUGAAAAAAAAUGUAAAAGAUCAUGUUUGGAACUCAUGAACGGUGGCUAGGGUUGCAGAGAAGUUUGUUAAAGAGAUGAGAGUACUAAUGUAAUUUUACUUUUUAAUGAAUUAAAUGCGAAAAUGCUUAAAAUUUGAGCUGAUAGAGAU